rnacentral:rRNA from 1 species
UCAGGAUGAACGCUAGCUACAGGCUUAACACAUGCAAGUCGAGGGCAGCGGGAUUGAAGCUUGCUUCAAUUGCCGGCGACCGGCGCACGGGUGAGUAACGCGUAUCCAACCUUCCGUACACUCAGGGAUAGCCUUUCGAAAGAAAGAUUAAUACCUGAUGGUAUGAUGAGAUCGCAUGGUAUCAUCAUUAAAGAUUUAUCGGUGUACGAUGGGGAUGCGUUCCAUUAGGUAGUAGGCGGGGUAACGGCCCACCUAGCCUACGAUGGAUAGGGGUUCUGAGAGGAAGGUCCCCCACAUUGGAACUGAGACACGGUCCAAACUCCUACGGGAGGCAGCAGUGAGGAAUAUUGGUCAAUGGACGAGAGUCUGAACCAGCCAAGUAGCGUGAAGGAUGAAGGUCCUAUGGGUUGUAAACUGCUUUUAUAAGGGAAUAAAGUGGGAGUCGUGACUCUUUUUGCAUGUACCUUAUGAAUAAGGACCGGCUAAUUCCGUG